GUACACUCCUGCGGGAGGCAGCAGUGGGGAAUAUUGCACAAUGGGCGCAAGCCUGAUGCAGCCAUGCCGCGUGUAUGAAGAAGGCCUUCGGGUUGUAAAGUACUUUCAGCGGGGAGGAAGGCAAUACGGUUAAUAACCGUGUUGAUUGACGUUACCCGCAGAAGAAGCACCGGCUAACUCCGUGCCAGCAGCCGCGGUAAUACGGAGGGUGCAAGCGUUAAUCGGAAUUACUGGGCGUAAAGCGCACGCAGGCGGUCUGUCAAGUCGGAUGUGAAAUCCCCGGGCUCAACCUGGGAACUGCAUUCGAAACUGGCAGGCUUGAGUCUUGUAGAGGGGGGUAGAAUUCCAGGUGUAGCGGUGAAAUGCGUAGAGAUCUGGAGGAAUACCGGUGGCGAAGGCGGCCCCCUGGACAAAGACUGACGCUCAGGUGCGAAAGCGUGGGGAGCAAACAGGAUUAGAAACCCGGGUAGUCCCA
rnacentral:rRNA from 1 species